rnacentral:ncRNA from 1 species
ACGAAUCAACGGGGUGCCGGAAGGCUGAGAUGAUACCCAUGGAACCUGGCCAGGUAAUGCUGGCAAGGGAAAAUGCUGCUUAUGGUCA